GGAAAAUGAUGCACCAUUCCAGAAGAUCUGACCGUCUGUUUUGAAUUACCUCUUGAAGGAAAUGAAUGUUAUGCUCCACAAAUUUUAAUUUGAAAUCCAAAUUCCCAAAGCGUUGAGUGACCUNNNNNNNCUCCUCCCUAAGGUACUCAUAUAUUUGAGCAUAUUUUGCAUCUCUCCAAGCAAUUUCAGAUCUCUCAAAAAGGCCAACUUUGAGAAUUACAUCAGCUAGAUUUGAAUUUGCC
rnacentral:misc_RNA from 1 species